CACGUCACCAAACUAACGCCAUCAUGGAAAUAUCUUCUCCACGUGGCACAUCUCAAACACUCAACACCUCCACUUCAUCCACGUCAGCAAUCGCAGUUCAUAAACCGCACCAACUCAACAUCUCUCUUCCCAACAUCGCUUCUUUGCCGUACCUUCAGAUUGGUCAAGCUCCACACUUUUCUCUUUCUAUUUUUUUCCUUUGUUUUUCAAACUGUUUUCUUAAUUUCGUUUACCAAAAUUCAAUUAGCGAUGAUUAAUACGAUCUAGUACCAGUAAAUGUUUUUAUGAUGACUUAAUAAUGGCGAUUAGUGAUUCCUCUGAGCUGCGUGAACGAUUUUGCAGAAAGAAAGCGAUGCCACUUUUCUGGUUCUUGUUCAUGUUCAAGGAAAGAUCUCUCGCGCGUUCAUGGUUUCGUCUCUAACGGAUCUUCUUCUUGUGCAUAACCGUUUUGGAUUUUCAUGCAUAUCCAGUGACCUGCAGUUGUAUUUUGGGGUUCUUUGAAGAUUGUAGCAUGUGCUGUUUUACUUUGGAUGAGGACGGACUAUAAUUAUCGUGAGCUUGGGUAUUUUGAAUGACAAGGGGUAACGAGAUAUGUGUUGAUGGCGACAGUAAAGAACUUACUCAGUGUUUGCGGGAUGGGAAGAACAGCUUAAAAAAAGGAGUUGCUGGUGAGGGUAAUGAAGUGGAAUGUAAUGGAGUAGCUGAAGAAGUUAAGGUUGGAGAGGGAGGGAAUGGAGAAUCCUCUUCUGUCCAGCAGCAAGUACCGCAGUAUCAGUCUCAAGGCGCAAUUAUUUGUUGGGAGAGGUUUUUGCAUAUUAGAUCCCUUAAAGUCUUGCUUGUGGAGUAUGAUGAUUGUACUCGCCAUAUUGUCACUGCAUUGCUCCGCAAUUGCAGUUAUGAAGUUAUUGAAGCAGCAAAUGGAUUGCAAGCUUGGAAGAUUUUGGAGGAUUUAACUAAUCAUAUUGAUAUUAUUUUAACUGAGGUGGCAAUGCCUGGCUUAUCAGGCAUUGCUCUUCUAUACAAGAUUAUGGGCCACACAACUCGGAAAAAUGUUCCAGUGAUUAUGAUGUCAUCUCUUGACUCUAUGGGUUUAGUCUUUAAGUGUUUGUCAAAGGGUGCUGUCGAUUUUCUAGUUAAACCCAUACGGAAGAAUGAGCUUAAAAACCUGUGGCAGCAUGUUUGGAGGAGAUGUCAUAGUUCUAGUGGGAGUGGCAGUGAAAGUGGCACACAAACUCAGAAAUCUGUGAAAUCAAAGAGUCUUGAGAAGUUUGACAACAAUUCGGGAAGCAAUGACGAGCAAGAUAAUGAAAUUUUAGGCUUAAAUAAUGGGGAUGGAAGUGACAAUGGUAGUGGCACUCAGAGUUCCUGGACCAAACGAGCUGUAGAAGUUGACAGUCCUAAAUCAGACUCUCAGUGGGAACAGAUAGCUGAGUGUCCUGACAGCACUUGUGCUCAAGUUGUUCAUUCCAAUGCUGAAAUAUGCAGGGGCAAGAUGGUUCCUCCAGUCAUAAAGGAGUGUCCAGAGCAAAAGGAACAAAUAGUUGCAGGUUCAAAACAUAUCAACACACUUGAUGUAGGCCUCUCUAAAUUCAAUGAGCAAAUUAUUAGAGGACAUCAGGAGCUUAAUUGUGAGAAUCAAUCUGGCAAGCUAAGAUGCAAAGGGCUUUCAUUAUCUGAUGGUGUUACUAGCACUUCUGAUUCUCGAAUGCGAAGUGGAGAAAUUGAAGCUCUAAAUAGAAUACCCAAGUCCUCAGAUAUUUACAACAAAGGUACUAAUAAUGACGAGGAGUUGCCAUCUCUUGAGCUCAGUUUAAAGAGGCCUAGAGAAGUUAAAGAAGUUGGUACUACAAGUCAGGAUGAAAGGAAUGUUUUAAGACAUUCUGAUCUGUCUGCUUUCUCAAAGUACAAUGCAGCCCUUAAUGCUAAGAAGUCUCCUACGAGAUGUGUUGGAAGUAACUCUCCACAUAAUAACAGCUUAGAAGUUACAAAGAAAGAUUCCUCUCUUGAUGUUCAAUCUCAUUCUAGUGGCAAUCCUCCUAACCAGAACUCAAAUGGUGGUAGCAAUAACAUUGAUAUGGGUUCCACUACUAAUAAUGCAUUUACCAAGUCUGCAGUUAUAAGUGAGCCAGCGGUGGCAUCAACAACCAAAUUUGCGUACAAAACAUCUGCUUUCCAGCCCAUAAAGAGCAGCCUCAUGUGUACCUCUCAACAGGUGGUCUUGCAUAAUAAUGAAGAUACGACAGCAGCAAUGCUGGCACCACCUAAAAUUGACACUGAUAAGGUUUCUGUUACUCAGGAUUUUCAUCACCAUUAUGUAAACCACAACAAUGUUGCAAACAUGCAGCAUCAGUUGCCACCUGAGAAUGAUGCUGAGUCAUUUAAGAAAAUGACGGCUGUUUCUCCAUACUGCGGUGGGUCAUCAAAUGUGGUUGAAGUGCUAGUUGAAGGUAAUAUGGGAAAUUACAGUAUCAAUAGAAGUGCUUCAGGCAGCAACAUUGAAAGUAAUGGACAAAAUGGGAGCAGCACUGCAAUUAAUACUGGAGGGACAAACUUAGAAAGCAACAAUGGACUAGCUGGGAAUAGUGGUAGUGGUGAUGCUAGUGCGAAUGGAAGUGCCAUCAGAAUAGAUCAAAACAAGAAUUCUCGAAGGGAAGCAGCACUAACAAAAUUUCGUCAAAAAAGAAAGGAGAGAAAAGAGAAGUGCUUUCAUAAACAGGUUCGAUAUGAGAGCAGGAAGAAAUUAGCUGAACAACGACUACGAUAUCGUGGACAAUUUGUGCGAAAGUCUUCAAACAAUGAUGCCGGUGAGGCAACAGAUAGUUGAUUGACUGAGCAUUUGACACAAUGGCGUAAUGAUGGGAUAUGUGGACCGGAAAAGAUCCAGAAGUCUUCAUGUGAUAUUUUGGAAUUGUUCUGUCUCUUCGUGUAUUGUGCUAACAUGGCUAAAAUGAUCAAGAAAUUUCAUCACCUAAAACAAGGGGUGUUCAAGACCUACCUGUUGCCGUGACUUAACCCAGUUCAAGCUUUAUUUAGGGAGUAGAAUUUGACCCGUACUGCAACUAAAUAGAGACGGAUUAAGAUCACAUUUUCUAACUUGGGAUUAUUAUAUUUGGGAUAAGUUAUCUGGUCCCUUUUCUA